CAAGCCACCGUGUAAACAAGGAGGCGGGGCACACCGCAUACAAGAAGGACGUCGAAACAGCUAUCAAGCAUUACUCCACAGCCAUAGAGAUUGACGAUGAAGAAAUCUCUUUGAUCACAAAUCGCCAUGCUAUUCAUCUGAAGAUGGAAAGUUCGUGAAUCAGGAUGGUGAUGAAGCUGUGGCUCAAGAGGAUGAGAUGGUUGAAGAAGCCUGAGAUAGAGAAGAAACGAGAUUCGGGGCCGGAGUUUGAAAAACAGAAGGAGAAGAAGGAAAGGAAGCAUUAAGCUUUGAAGGAGAAAGAGAUGGAGAGACCGAAACAAGAAGAGGUGAAGCGUUUAAAGAGGGAGGCUGUCGAGGCAGAGAAGAAUAAGAAAAAGAGAGCACAAAGCAUCAAGUUGCAGAGCGGAAAGCUGCUAGACUGAGUAUGAGACAAGAGAAGGCACUUCCUCUUGACGGGUUCUGAGAAAUGACAUGAUGCUACACAUAUAAAUGGCAUCAUGCUAAUAUGAUUAAGUUGAGAUUCUGGUGGACUACGUUUGAGUGGCGAAGCUGUUAUAGUUCCUAAUGGGAUAAGAGAUGGAAGCUUGCCUCAAGGUAAAACGUACAGGAAGGCUUAUAACACCAUCUGCAAACAAGCCAAGCUACG